GACGAACGCUGGCGGCGUGCUUAACACAUGCAAGUCGAACGAAGUGGCGAACGGGUGAGUAACGCGCAAUCAACCUGCCCUUCAGAGGGGGACCACAGUUGGAAACGACUGCUAAUACCGCCUACUGAAGGUGGGGAUUGCGUCUGAUUCGCUAGUUGGAGGGGUAACGGCCCACCAAGGCGAAGAUCAGUAGCCGGGCUGAGAGGAUGAACGGCCACAUUGGGACUGGGACACGGCCCAGACUCCUACGGGAGGCAGCAGUGGGGAAUCUUCCGAAAUGGACGAAAGUCUGACGGAGCAACGCCGCGUGAUUGAUGACGGCCUUCGGGUUGUAAAGCUCUGUUAAUCGGGACGCGGUACCGAAAUAGAAAGCCACGGCUAACUACGUGCCAGCAGCCGCGGUAAUAC
rnacentral:rRNA from 1 species